AAUGGCUCUGGCUCAGGGUUCCCAGAGCUCCAAUGGCACCUUUGAGCAUUGUCACUCCUGUCAUCAGAGUGACACCCUUACAGAAGCACGGGAGGAAUGCUGGAUGCAAUGCGAUGUUAUUAAAAGGACUAUGGACUGGGGCUGAAGGCCCGGCAAGAAUAACAGGCAGUGCAGUACCCAAGCAGGCAGCAGACACAGACUGGAUCUCAUCAAGUGCUUUAGCUGAAAAAUGCCCAGAAAACAUGCUCUGCGCAAGGCCAAGGAUGCCUGCUCCCCAAGACCAAGAGAUGGUCAAUCUGUUCCCUUAGUUGAAUAACCAGUCCUGGAAAGAAAGUAAGCGGAGAGGCCUCAAAGUAAAUCAAAUACAUAGCAUAUACAGUUCUGACCCUCCGGGGCCCCACCCCACUCGGCAAAACAGAAGUUCCACAGUGGGCCAGACAGUGGCCGUGCAGCCUCACCUAUGUUGAGUCUACCACUCUGAGUGAAAAUGCCCAACAAAACUGGAUCUACUGAGAGGAUCCCGCUGCCAGGGAAAUGAGAUUUUUCUCAUAUCAUUUAAAAUGAAAUGAUUGUUAGAAGCCAUCUGAAGCAAAACGAGAGUUAAGGGGAAACAGACUAAGAAAACAGAAGUAGAGCCACUUCACUAUUUUGCUUAAUUUGUAACACCUUCAGCAAGAUCUUCAAACUAGAAAAGCUGGAGAUAAAGAAGGGUAUUCUUAACAACUUCAAGGCCCAAGUGAAUUACUCCCACUGCAAUGAAAAGCAAUUACAUAUGUUUCUGUGGAGCGAUUGUUGGUGUGGGUUCCUAAGUGGGAAAAAAUGGAUAGCUGUUAGGUCAUAGAAACCAGAGGAAUAUUUCCCCGGUUUUUAGAAAAGAGCAAUGAGUAAGAUUCUGAAAAUUAUAAACUGGUAAAUAUGGCAUCGAUCCCUAACAAAAUUCUAGGACAGAUUGUUGGGCAAAUGUUCUGUUGUGAAAGGAAUAAUAUAUAUAUAUAUAUUAUGUUCAAUACAAAAUAUGUUGAAAAUUAUCGGGCCCCUCUUAGUCCUUCACAGAGAACCUGAUGUGGUAGCAAAUCUCUACACAACUGCUAACAGAGGAAAGAGAAUUCUCUUUUACUGCUCCCUCGUCUGCUGUCAAAAAAGCAGAAUCGUGAGAAAAUCAAUGCAACAGAAGAGUGCAAAAGCUAUAAGGACAGAUCCUGCCAGGGAAAAUGUCUACUUAUUCUACAGUAGCACUGCUGAAGCCUAUGCUUCAGACUUGGGUCAAUGUGUGCCCUGCACAGAGAUGCCAAACUGGGGCAGGGACUGAGAGCAUGCUAGCCUCCAACCCAAGCUCUACCUCCACACGGUGUGCUUUGGUGCAGGAUCCAUGUCAUCCUAGGGACAGCAUCUAUUCCCACAAUGCUUUGUGGCCCUAUGCACACCUGACGUCAAGAGCCUGCAGUUCAAAUCCUACAUCCUCUACUCAUCAACUUGAAACCAUUCCUGGGCUUCAGUCCUCCUAUGCACGGGUAUGAGUCAGCAUCAAGAUUGAUGGUGAGGACUAAAUGCCAACAGGUAUGAGGAGCACUGAACACAGUGUUUGUCUCCAUGUUGGGAAAAUCCUGGAAGGGAUCAAAUCAGAUCUUUAUGGUCCAGAUCUCCAAUUCAGAGAUUUUGUGACCAGAGUUGAAAAUCAGAAAUUCUUGGCUCAGAUCCUUUUGGCCAUCAACUUUUUGUUGCAGUUACAAUUUACAACAGUAAUGAACUUACUGUUCACUCUGUUCACUCACUUACUCAGUAGCGAACUACUGAGAAAAGAGGAUUCUCUGAACAGUAUUUUAGUUUUGUUCUCCCCAUUUUGUAAAGUGGAGUAUAAAACAGAAGCUUCUGAAGUAACAGAUUUAUUAUACUUGUUCCCUUAUGAAAGAAAAGUCAUAAAGUCAUCCUCUGCUCCACUCCCAUCAAUUUUCCUCUCACUUUUAACAGAUUCUAUAAAGCAACAUUUAUGUAACAGGUAGGUCUUUUGCAAAAGAGGAAGAGGGGGAAGGAAUCCUAUCUGAUCAUGUCUUGAGAAGCACGUUUUUCACUGGUAGCUUCAUUAACAUUGUGUCUGGGGCCAGAUGAAUAGAAAUGAUGUCACUUGUAGGACACAUAAUGAAAGAUGUACUCUGUCCACACACUCCAUGGAUGGUUGAUUAGAAAAGAUUCAAAAUUUGUAAACGUAUGUACAUGAAGGAAUCUGAACACAGGGAACAGCUAUCCAGAACCCCUUCAAAUAUUUUUUACAAGCAAAAAUUUCUUUAAUUUCAAUGAAUAGUUUAUUUAAUUAUGUCUCAUAAUGUUUCAGACAAUAUCUAUCCGAUAAAAGAAAUACAGCAUUAUUUGUUACAUAAUGCCAAUAUCAUCUCAAACUGAAAGAAUUAUUUGCACCCCCAAUUCUCUUGAAGUGAGAAAAUGAUGAAUAGAUGACAUGUUCAUUAACUAUAUGAAAACAAGAUAUACUUGAAUCUUUUGGUUUAUUUUGAUUAGGUUUCAGCUAGAACAGUUGGUUGAAACGAAGUAUGUAUAGAAAAAGGAAGGACAAAGACAAGUGUUAGGGUUGGUCUGUGGGACGGAAAUGUAAAGCAUUACUGGGAUGAUACUGAUUCUAUUAAGCCUGUAUGCGUUAUUUUGUACACUUAAUCAGCAGCCCUGAAAACAUGAAGCCAAUGUCUCAUGAGACAGAAAAUGACCUAAAGAGCCCCAAAAGCCAUAAUGUUCCCAACCGUUAAGGAAAAAUGGCCCUCUACCAGCAUGAGGAAGUGAAGGUCUCUUCUGUUUUUAAUUAUACAUGGACAGAAACGUUAAAAAUCCUUAUUUUAUGUCUUCUACUUUAAUCAUUCCUUUUAUAUUGCAA